AGAGUUUGAUCAUGGCUCAGAACGAACGCUGGCGGCAGGCCUAACACAUGCAAGUCGAGCGCGCCCUUCGGGGUGAGCGGCGGACGGGUUAGUAACGCGUGGGAAUAUGCCCGACACUAAGGAAUAGCCUCUGGAAACGGAGAGUAAUACCUUAUACGCCCUUCGGGGGAAAGAUUUAUCGGUGACGGAUUAGCCCGCGUUAGAUUAGAUAGUUGGUGGGGUAAUGGCCUACCAAGUCUACGAUCUAUAGCUGGUUUUAGAGGAUGAUCAGCAACACUGGGACUGAGACACGGCCCAGACUCCUACGGGAGGCAGCAGUGGGGAAUCUUGGACAAUGGGCGCAAGCCUGAUCCAGCCAUGCCGCGUGAGUGAUGAAGGCCUUAGGGUCGUAAAGCUCUUUCGCCAGAGAUGAUAAUGACAGUAUCUGGUAAAGAAACCCCGGCUAACUCCGUGCCAGCAGCCGCGGUAAUACGGAGGGGGUUAGCGUUGUUCGGAAUUACUGGGCGUAAAGCGCGCGUAGGCGGAUUGGUCAGUUAGAGGUGAAAUCCCGGGGCUCAACCCCGGAACUGCCUUUAAUACUGCUAGUCUUGAGUUCGAGAGAGGUGAGUGGAAUUCCGAGUGUAGAGGUGAAAUUCGUAGAUAUUCGGAGGAACACCAGUGGCGAAGGCGGCUCACUGGCUCGAUACUGACGCUGAGGUGCGAAAGUGUGGGGAGCAAACAGGAUUAGAUACCCUGGUAGUCCACACCGUAAACGAUGAAUGCCAGUCGUCGGGUAGCAUGCUAUU
rnacentral:rRNA from 1 species